CGGGGGGGCAAGCGUUGUUCGGAAUUACUGGGCGUAAAGGGCUUGUAGGUGGCCAACUAAGUCAAACGUGAAAUCCCUCAGCUUAACUGGGGAACUGCGUCUGAUACUGGAUGGCUUGAGUUUGGGAGAGGGAUGCGGAAUUCCAGGUGUAGCGGUGAAAUGCGUAGAUAUCUGGAGGAACACCGGUGGCGAAGGCGGCAUCCUGGACCAAUACUGACACUGAAAAGCGAAAGCCAGGGGAGCAAACGGGAUUAGAUACCCCGGUAGUCCUGGCCCUAAACGAUGAAUGCUUGGUGUGGCGGGUAUCGAUCCCUGCCGUGCCGAAGCUAACGCAUUAAGCAUUCCGCCUGGGGAGUACGGUCGCAAGGCUG
rnacentral:rRNA from 1 species